AGUUACACAAACGUUGCAACGUGC
rnacentral:siRNA from 1 species